rnacentral:rRNA from 1 species
UUCCAGACUCCUACGGGAGGCAGCAGUAGGGAAUCUUCGGCAAUGGACGAAAGUCUGACCGAGCAACGCCGCGUGAGUGAAGAAGGUUUUCGGAUCGUAAAGCUCUGUUGUAAGUCAAGAACGUGUGUGAGAGUGGAAAGUUCACACAGUGACGGUAGCUUACCAGAAAGGGACGGCUAACUACGUGCCAGCAGCCGCGGUAAUACGUAGGUCCCGAGCGUUGUCCGGAUUUAUUGGGCGUAAAGGGAGCGCAGGCGGUCAGGAAAGUCUGGAGUAAAAGGCUAUGGCUCAACCAUAGUGUGCUCUGGAAACUGUCUGACUUGAGUGCAGAAGGGGAGAGUGGAAUUCCAUGUGUAGCGGUGAAAUGCGUAGAUAUAUGGAGGAACACCAGUGGCGAAAGCGGCUCUCUGGUCUGUCACUGACGCUGAGGCUCGAAAGCGUGGGUAGCGAACAGGAUUAGAUACCCUGGUAGUCCACGCCGUAAACGAUGAGUGCUAGGUGUUAGGCCCUUUCCGGGGCUUAGUGCCGGAGCUAACGCAAUAAGCACUCCGCCUGGGGAGUACGACCGCAAGGUUGAAACUCAAAGGAAUUGACGGGGGCCCGCACAAG